rnacentral:rRNA from 1 species
AGCCAUGCCGCGUGCGGGAAGACGGCCCUAUGGGUUGUAAACCGCUUUUGUUGGGGAGCAAUAAGGUCCACGUGUGGAUCGAUGAGAGUACCCAGCGAAUAAGCAUCGGCUAACUCCGUGCCAGCAGCCGCGGUAAUACGGAGGAUGCAAGCGUUAUCCGGAUUUAUUGGGUUUAAAGGGUGCGUAGGCGGAUGCCUAAGCGUGAGGUGAAAUCCCCGGGCUCAACCUGGGAACUGCCUCGCGAACUGGGUAUCUGGAAUGCCCCUGCCGUGGGAGGAAUGUGUGGUGUAGCGGUGAAAUGCAUAGAGAUCACACAGAACACCGAUUGCGAAGGCAUCUCACGAAGGGGUGAUUGACGCUGAGGCACGAAAGCGUGGGGAUCAAACAGGAUUAGAUACCCUGGUAGUCCACGCAGUAAACGAUGAUAACUAACCGCUGGGCAUUCGUGUUCAGUGGCCAAGCGAAAGCGAUAAGUUAUCCACCUGGGGAGUACGACCGCAAGGUUGAAACUCAAAGGAAUUGACGGGGGCCCGCACAAGCGGAGGAACAUGUGGUUUAAUUCGAUGAUACGCGAGGAACCUUACCCGGGCUCGAACGGCUGGUGAAGAGAUCCAGAGAUGGUGACGUCCUUCGGGACACCAGUCGAGGUGCUGCAUGGUUGUCGUCAGCUCGUGCCGUGAGGUGUCGGCUCAAGUGCCAUAACGAGCGCAACCCUUGUCGUCAGUUACCAUCAAGUGAAGUUGGGGACUCUGGCGAGACUGCCACCGCAAGGUGAGAGGAAGGGGGGGAUGACGUCAAAUCAGCACGGCCCUUACGUCCGGGGCGACACACGUGUUACAAUGGGGGUUACAGAGGGGCACUACCUGGUGACAGGAUGGGAAUCUCGAAAAGCCCUCUCAGUCCGGAUCGGAGUCUGCAACUCGACUCCGUGAAGCUGGAUUCGCUAGUAAUCGCGCAUCAGCCAUGGCGCGGUGAAUACGUUCCCGGGCCUUGUACACACCGCCCGUCAAGCCAUGAAAGUCUGGGGCGCCUGAAGUUCGUGACCGCAAGGAGCGACCUAGGGCGAAACAGGUAAUUGGGGCUAAGUCGUAACAAGGUAA